GUAGCGGCGCACGGGAGAGUAACACGUGGGCAACCUGCCUGUAAGACUGGUAUAACUUCGGGAAACCGGAGCUAAUACCGGAUCACUCGAGAUACCACGUGGUUUCGUGCUAAAAGAUGGCUCCGUCUCUCAUUUACAGAUGGGCCCGCGGCGCAUUAUCUAGUUGGAGAGGUAGUGGCUCACCAAGGCAAAGAUGCGUACCCGACCUGAGAGGGUGAUCGGCCACAGUGGGACUGACACACGCCCCACACUCCUACGGGAGGCAGCAGUAGGGAAUCUUCCGCAAUGCACGAAAGUCUGACAGAGCCACCCCGCGUGAGUGAUGAAUUUUUUCAGAUCGUAACUCUCUGUUGUUAGGAAAAAACAAGUACCGUUCAAAUAGCGCGGCCCCUUGGCGGUACCUAACCAAAAACCCGGGGCGAGCUACGUGCCAACACGCGGGGAAAUACGCGGGUGUUAUGCGGUGUCGGAUUUUUUUGGGCGUAAAGCGCGCGCACGCGCUUUUUUAUGUGAUAUGUAAACGCCCCCGGCUCGCCCGGGGAGGGUCAUUGGAUAGUGUGAGAUGUGAGUGCAAAAGA
rnacentral:rRNA from 1 species